rnacentral:rRNA from 1 species
GACGGAGGUCCCGAGCGUUGUUCGGAAUUAUUGGGCUUAAAGCGCGUGUAGGUGGAGCGGUACGUACCUUGUGAAAUCCCCGGACUCAAUCCGGGAACUGCUUGGUAUACUGCCGUUCUCGAGGCAGGUAGGGGUCACUGGAACCUUAGGUGGAGCGGUGAAAUGCGUAGAUAUCUAAGGGAACGCCUGUGGCGAAAGCGGGUGACUGGGCCUGUCCUGACGCUGAGACGCGAAAGCGUAGGGAGCAAACGGG